rnacentral:misc_RNA from 1 species
GAUGAAGAACGUAGCGAAAUGCGAUAAGUAAUGUGAAUUGCAGAAUUCAGUGAAUCAUUGAAUCUUUGAACGCACAUUGCGCCCCCUGGUAUUCCGGGGGGCAUGCCUGUCCGAGCGUCAUUACAACCCUCAAGCUCAGCUUGGUAUUGGGCCCCGCCGACCCGGCGGGCCCUAAAGUCAGUGGCGGUGCCGUCCGGCUCCGAGCGUAGUAAUUCUUCUCGCUCUGGAGGUCCGGUCGUGUGCUCGCCAGCAACCCCCAAUUUUUUUCAGGUUGACCUCGGAUCAGGUAGGGAUACCCGCUGAACUUAAGCAUAUCAAUAAGCGGAGGA